rnacentral:lncRNA from 1 species
GAGAUAAAAGAGGAUAUCCAUUAAAAACAAUAAGUUCAUACAACCCCAAGAAUAGAAAUAAAAAAAUACAAAACCCUUAUCCUUUUGCUAGGGCUGCAUCCAACCCUAGUGCAGAGCUCAGCCUUCCAUGGAGAAUUGAACAGCUGUAGCAGUGGAGAAUGCUUCCAUCGCGACCAGCUCUUCUUUCUUUCUUCCUCCGGCGACUCCCAUC